rnacentral:rRNA from 1 species
AUUGAACGCUGGCGGCAGGCCUAACACAUGCAAGUCGAGCGGCAGCGGGAAAGUAGCUUGCUACUUUUGCCGGCGAGCGGCGGACGGGUGAGUAAUGCCUGGGAAAUUGUCCAGUCGAGGGGGAUAACAGUUGGAAACGACUGCUAAUACCGCAUACGCCCUACGGGGGAAAGCAGGGGACCUUCGGGCCUUGCGCGAUUGGAUAUGCCCAGGUGGGAUUAGCUAGUUGGUGAGGUAAUGGCUCACCAAGGCGACGAUCCCUAGCUGGUCUGAGAGGAUGAUCAGCCACACUGGAACUGAGACACGGUCCAGAAUCCUACGGGAGGCAGCAGUGGGGAAUAUUGCACAAUGGGGGAAACCCUGAUGCAGCCAUGCCGCGUGUGUGAAGAAGGCCUUCGGGUUGUAAAGCACUUUCAGCGAGGAGGAAAGGUUGAUGCCUAAUACGUAUCAACUGUGACGUUACUCGCAGAAGAAGCACCGGCUAACUCCGUGCCAGCCGCCGCAGUAAGAC